UGGCAUGGCUCCGAGGCUGCGA
rnacentral:siRNA from 1 species